AUCAAGCUGACGAGUCCCAAAUAGGACGAAACAUGCGUCCUGGAU
rnacentral:hammerhead_ribozyme from 1 species